rnacentral:lncRNA from 1 species
GUGGUCAGCUCCUGGUGUGGCUCUGUCUGCGCUGUGCAGAGCUACAGCCGAGGAGCUGCUGCCAGGAAAGGGUGCUGCAACUCCAGCUGCUGUCAACCCACCUGUGGUGGUCCCAGUUGCCCUGGCUCAGCUGCUGCAGCCCUGCCACUAUACCCAGCAUACGGCUGAGUCUUCUGCCAUACCACUUACCGCUGUCCAACCUAUGUCAUC